CAUGCAAGUCGAGCGCGGGAAGCAGGCAGAUCCUCUUCGGAGGUGACGCUUGUGGAACGAGCGGCGGACGGGUGAGUAACACGUGGGCAACCUGCCUGUAAGAUUGGGAUAACCCCGGGAAACCGGGGCUAAUACCGGAUAAUACUUUUCGUUGCAUAACGAGAAGUUGAAAGGCGGCUUUUAGCUGUCACUUACAGAUGGGCCCGCGGCGCAUUAGCUAGUUGGUAAGGUAACGGCUUACCAAGGCGACGAUGCGUAGCCGACCUGAGAGGGUGAUCGGCCACACUGGGACUGAGACACGGCCCAGACUCCUACGGGAGGCAGCAGUAGGGAAUCUUCCGCAAUGGACGAAAGUCUGACGGAGCAACGCCGCGUGAGUGAUGAAGGUUUUCGGAUCGUAAAACUCUGUUGUCAGGGAAGAACAAGUGCCGUUCAAAUAGGGCGGCACCUUGACGGUACCUGACCAGAAAGCCCCGGCUAACUACGUGCCAGCAGCCGCGGUAAUACGUAGGGGGCAAGCGUUGUCCGGAAUUAUUGGGCGUAAAGCGCGCGCAGGCGGUCCUUUAAGUCUGAUGUGAAAGCCCACGGCUUAACCGUGGAGGGCCAUUGGAAACUGGAGGACUUGAGUACAGAAGAGGAGAGUGGAAUUCCACGUGUAGCGGUGAAAUGCGUAGAGAUGUGGAGGAACACCAGUGGCGAAGGCGACUCUCUGGUCUGUAACUGACGCUGAGGUGCGAAAGCGUGGGGAGCGAACAGGAUUAGAUACCCUGGUAGUCCACGCCGUAAACGAUGAGUGCUAGGUGUUAGGGGGUUUCCGCCCCUUAGUGCUGAAGUUAACGCAUUAAGCACUCCGCCUGGGGAGUACGGCCGCAAGGCUGAAACUCAAAAGAAUUGACAGGGGCCCGCACAAGCGGUGGAGCAUGUGGUUUAAUUCGAAGCAACGCGAAGAACCCUUACCAGUCUUGACAUCCUCUGCCAAUCCUAGAGAUAGGAUGUUCCCUUCGGGACAAAAGUGACAGUGGUGCAUGGUGUCGUCAGCUCGUGUCGUGA
rnacentral:rRNA from 1 species